ensembl:snRNA U6 U6 spliceosomal RNA
GUGCUUGCUUCAGCAGCACAUGUACUAAAAUCGGAACGAUAAGAGAAGAUUAGCAUGGUCCCUGCGCAAGGAUGACAAGCAAGUUUGUGAAGCAUUCCAUAUUAAA